rnacentral:sRNA from 1 species
GCUGGGCAUGGUGGCACAUGUCUGUAAUCCCAGUGACUCUGGAGGCUGAGACAGGAGGAUCACAAGUUCAAAGCCAGCCUUAGCAAUGGUGAGGUGCUAAGCAACUCAAUGGGACCCUGUCUCUA